UCCAAGAUGAGUUCAAAUUCCAAUCGGAUCACCGAAUCCAUGGCCAUGUCACUACAGAGAGAUUCCAAGGUUAACAACGCUCAGCACGAACAUCCCUAAGAAAUUUAACUCCACCUUCUUCCGGAAUUCGAACAAUCGUCCAGAACGCGACCUUGCGUUAGCUUCAAAACGAAAAAUACGAAAAACUCACGUUAAAGAUUGAAACAACAAACUCACCUUCGGUGGCCGUUCAAAUCAACAUGAAUCUGAAAUCGUCUUCUCCGAUCUGUUUUGUCGUCGAUGACGCGUUGGAUGAACAAUGACGAUGAUGCUCCGAUUCGAAAUGUCGACGCAAGGUUAUGAUCAUCUCCUUUGGUUAUGCUCCGUCGUCAUCAUCCGUCGAUUCUGUUACGGCGUCGUCGCUUUGACGUCGCGUGGUACGCGUGUUACGAGUCGCUAUUGCUGAUGGAUUGCGUUGUGGCGUUGCAGUGAAGAGGGAAAGGCGUUGGAUCCUUUCUUUGAAGAGGGAAGGUAAUCGCUUCUGAGUUCCGUCGAAUCUCGAUCGAUGAAGACCUUUCCCCGAAACCGUUGGCGGCUUUUUAUGUGGACCUCAUUCAGAGCAGAUGGUGGAAGCUGGUGGUUAUUGGGAGAAGUUGGAGGGUUCCGCGGCGGGUUGCAGGGUGGAGGUGAAGGGAGGUUUGGUGGAUGUGAUUGAGAGGUUGAAGAAGUUGAUGAAGUGAAGUCAGCGUCAGUUCUGGGGUGCAAUGGAGAUGGAAAAAGAAAAAAAAAUGGGUGAAGAAACCAGUUCAGUUCUAUAGAGGUUGUUGAAGUUGUGGAGGUUAUGGAAAACUGUGGAUUCAGUUAGGAAUUAGUUAGAUUCAAUGACAGUUGGCGACAGUUGGCGACAAUUGGAAUUGAUUAGGCGGUUAGGACGGUUGAAGACAGUUGGAAUUCGGUUCGAGUUGGUUUCGACAGUUGCUGUUAAUCGUGGGCAGUUAUGGCACUUGGCAGGCUAACGGUUUACGGUCUUUGUUAUGGAGCUAUGGUCGGCAUGUUGUAAGGCUUGCAUUGGAUUAGAUUAUGUUGGAGGUGAUGAAAGCAUAAGUUUAAACUGAGUUAUGGUGAGGGAAGUUAGAAGCAGUUUUGAAAUUGUUAUUAUUUUUUUUCAUGAAAUUUGCAGGUCAAAUGGGUUUGUUUGAAGUGUACGAUCCUUCCAACUGCAUGAAUGAGUCCACAAUGGGAGGUGCGACAAUGACAGUUGGUUCACCCAAGUUAAGCAAAUCUUGAGGAGAUUAUUCAUUGGGUACACUUGCCACACUAGCUCUCAAAACCUUGCUGCCGGCCGAUGUUCCUUUUUUUAUGCUAUUAUUUGGAAUGCAUGGCCUGCAUGGAACGCAUGUUUUUAUGUAUGGAAAUAAUUGGAUUUGAAAUGUAUGAAUUGGUAUGGAUUAGUGUGUUUUUUGGGCUUUUGUUGUAAUUUUUAUGCAUUGAAUGUGUAAUGUAGGUAACUGAAUUAGUAAUGUGAGGCAUCAGUGUAAUGUUUAAAUUGGAAUUGAAUACAUGUGAUUUUGGAAAUUGGCUUAUGUAAUGAAAGUGUAGUUUUGCAACUAAUGGUUGAAAUA